rnacentral:rRNA from 1 species
AUGGCUAAGUACUGGUGGGGCAGCUCCAUGGACAAGCGCUCGCUACACUGGCUCUCGUGGGACAAGCUCGAGGUGCCUAAAGUAAAAGGGGGCAUGGGUUUUCGCAACAUGCAGUCCUUCAACCUCGCUAUGCUUGGGAAACAUGGUUGGCGUCUUCUCACGCGACCGGACUCAUUGUGUGCUAGGGUACUAAAAGGAAAAUACUACCCUCAUACAGACUUUCUCAAUGCAACGGUUCCGGCCAAAGCAUCGGCAACCUGGAAGGCAAUAGUGGCAGGAAGAGAGGCAUUACAGGUUGGUCUCAUUCGUCGAGUUCGUGAUGGCUCAACCAUCUCAAUUUGGAAUGACAACUGGAUUCCU